rnacentral:rRNA from 1 species
CGCGUAGGCGGACCAUUAAGUCAGGGGUGAAAUCCCGGGGCUCAACCCCGGAACUGCCUUUGAUACUGGUGGUCUUGAGUUCGAGAGAGGUGAGUGGAAUUCCGAGUGUAGAGGUGAAAUUCGUAGAUAUUCGGAGGAACACCAGUGGUGAAGGCGGCUCACUGGCUCGAUACUGACGCUGAGGUGCGAAAGCGUGGGGAGCAAACA